rnacentral:rRNA from 1 species
GACGUAGGGGACGAGCGUUGUCCGGAUUCAUUGGGCGUAAAGCGCACGUAGGCGGCAUCGCAAGUCCCAUGUGAAAGCCCACGGCUUAACCGUGGAAGUGCAUGGGAAACUGCAGUGCUUGAGUACUUAAGAGGAUCGCGGAAUUCCCGGUGUAGAGGUGAAAUUCGUAGAUAUCGGGAGGAACACCAGUGGCGAAGGCGGCGAUCUGGGAAGAUACUGACGCUGAGGUGCGAAAGCGUGGGGAGCAGACAGG